rnacentral:pre_miRNA from 1 species
AGCGUUUCAAGUUUCCGUCAGUCAUGGCUGACAGAAGAUAGAAGCGCUGA